rnacentral:rRNA from 1 species
GAUGAACGCUGGCGGCGUGCCUAAUACAUGCAAGUCGAGCGAACAGACGAGGAGCUUGCUCCUCUGACGUUAGCGGCGGACGGGUGAGUAACACGUGGAUAACCUACCUAUAAGACUGGGAUAACUUCGGGAAACCGGAGCUAAUACCGGAUAAUAUAUUGAACCGCAUGGUUCAAUAGUGAAAGACGGUUUUGCUGUCACUUAUAGAUGGAUCCGCGCCGCAUUAGCUAGUUGGUAAGGUAACGGCUUACCAAGGCAACGAUGCGUAGCCGACCUGAGAGGGUGAUCGGCCACACUGGAACUGAGACACGGUCCAGACUCCUACGGGAGGCAGCAGUAGGGAAUCUUCCGCAAUGGGCGAAAGCUUGGCGGAACAACGCCGCGUGAGUGAUGAAGGUCUUCGGAUCGUAAAACUCUGUUAUUAGGGAAGAACAAAUGUGUAAGUAACUAUGCGCGUCUUGACGGUACCUAAUCAGAAAGCCACGGCUAACUACGUG